UUUUUCAGGGAAAACACUGUUCACAUGAACAGUGUAGAGAAAGAAAAAAGCAGUCGAGAGCUGUUUGAAUUUAACUGCGUUUUAAAUGCAAACCUCAGUGGGCCCCACCAGAAAUAAAUUGUGUUUUGAAUGUUAUCAAACAAUUAUUUUGUUGUGGUUGCUUCAAACACAGAAGCAACCACGCAAACAAAUAGACUCUUAAUCAAUCGAAACCCUAACCAGCAAAAAAUGCCCCCUUGUUCAUUCCAAUUGCUAUCAUCUUCCAUUAUUCACUCCCUCCUCUCUCUUUCUAAUAAUUUAACCAAUCCAGUAAUUAUAAACAAGAGAGAGCCCAGAACAAGCAGAGCAUUUUUUUAAUGCAAAAGGAACAAUCCUAAGUAUGAAGUCUUAGAUAAAAAAUAGAAUAGAUCUGCUUCGUAUGCUAGAAAUACUGAUUUAUGGCUUGAAAAAAUGUAGUUUGUGAGCUACUUCUUUUGGAUGUUCUUGCUGGAUCUCCUGGUCCGCUACUUCACUUGAAGCAAUCUAUGCCAUGGACCUUUCACACAUCUUUCUUUUUAUCAAUGAUGCCCUUGACUAGUUAAAUGGGCAUGGCAAGCAAUGUUUCUUAAUUAAUCUAGGGUUAAUUUGUUUUGUGAGAAAGAGGGAGAAGGGUUUCAAUUUUUUUAGUUUUAGGAGUAAAGAGGGGUGAUUUACCCUUGUCUGAACAAGGGUACUUCGGAAUUUUCAAGUUUUAUUGAUUUCUAUUAUUUUUACUUUCCUAUAAUGUAAAGUAAAUAAAAAAUAAUAAUUUUUAUCUUUCAUGUUUUUUUUCCAUUCAUGUUAACACUUGAAGGUCUUAAAUGUUAACUGAAUAUAUGGUAAAAGGAUUCCAUUAAUCUUAUUUGUAGCAUAGGGACCCAACUAAUCAAACAUCAACAGUAGAGGAAUGUCAGAUGCAAUUAACCGUUAAGAAAACAAACAUGCACGCACAAUGUAAAGAAUUGAGAAGGUGAGGGGUGAUAAUGAAAAGAUAUGGUCCUUUUAGAUAUUGAAUCUAGGCCUAGCUAAUGUCAAACAGGCCAUUGCUUGAAAGUUUUAACUCUAAAAGUUGCUUGCUCUUUAUAUAAGAUUUUUUUUCUCAGGAACACAUUCCACUGAGUAAAGAAUUCCACUAAGAUGCAAUCAUCUACAGUUUCUUAUGCAUAUUUCUACACCAAUUUUAAUCAAAAUGAUGUUUCAAGGAACUCAGCUAUCUUCUGAAUGUGCAUCGUUCAUGUGUUAAAGUUGCAAAAUAAGGCAUGUGUCCUUCAACAAAUGACAUGAUAAUCAGAAUACAUUACGAACAUGAAAAAUGAAAAAAAUGACAAGUAGACAAAAAAAAAAUCAAUAGUACUAGCAUAGGUCUAUAAAAGGUCAGAAACUAUGCAAAAAAUAUUUGAGAAGUCAAAAUAUUCGAAUCUACAGUUCAUUUUACCAAGUCAACAAGUAGUAAAGGGAAAGAAUGGCAUAAAAAACAACAAUCAAGGCAAGAAUUAAUUACCUAGCCCCCUAAUGACACUAUUUCGUGGUCAUGAACAAGUGUGACAUAAUCUAAGAACAAAAGGGAAUUGUGAGUGACUUGUAGAGGAUAGAAUCAUGAACCUACAUUCAUCUACAAAUACAUUAUGAUUUUACACUGAUUUUAUCAUUACUACUAGUACUACUACUACUAUUUACGAUGAUGUGGAGCCAUUCCAAUUAAAUGAAAAAGGAAACAAAUAAUCCUACCUUUGUGAAAAUCAGACUGUAAGGUACAGAUAUAUACACAUUUACAAUGCAUUAUGCCCCACCACGCUUUUAGAGGGAUUCAUGUAGUUUUACGUCAGUAGAGGAGAUACCAAACACAAACCAGUAAGAAGGCAUCAUAUAAAAUGGUAAAGAACAGUUCCUCCAAUUUUCAUAAAUCAACAAGUUAUAACAUCAACUUCUUAAAUCCUUUGAUGCUUUAUCAUUA